AUGCUCACUUCAGCAGCACAUAUACUAAAAUUGGAAUGAGACAGAGAAGAUUAGCCUGGCCCCUGCGCAGGGAUGUCACGCAGAUUCAUGAGGCAUUCCAUAUUUAA
ensembl:snRNA U6 U6 spliceosomal RNA